rnacentral:snRNA from 1 species
GUGCUCACUUUGGCAGCACAUUUACUAAAAAUUGGAACAAUACAGGGAAGAUUAACAUGGCCCCUGCACGAGGAUGCCACACAAAUUCGUGAAGCAUUCCAUAUAUUU